GGCUGAUGCAAAGUGAAGAAAGGCCAUGGAAGAAGAAUAUAUGGUACUUCAGAAAAAUAAGACAUGGCAUCUUGUUCCUCCAAGGAAAGGGAUUGAGGUUAAGAAACAUGGAGAUGGCCUUCACUUAUCUCAAGAAAAAUAUGCCACAGAUUUGGUAAGAAGGGUUGGGUUGCAAGGAUGCAAACCUUCAUCAACUCCCUUGUCUAGCACAGAAAAAUUGUCACUUGCAGAAGGAGAUCUUGAAUCAAGAGGACAACACUAGGUACAGGAGUCUGGUGGGGGCACUUCAAUACUUGACUCUCACGAGACCUGAUAUCUCUUUUGCUGUUAACAAAGUAUGUCAAUUUCUUCAUGCACCCACUACUGCUCAUUGGACUGCUACUAAACGGAUAGUAAGAUACAUUAAAAAUACUAUGAAUGUUGGCCUAACCUUCAACAAGUCUUCAUCCACACUUGUCAGUGCUUUUUCAGACUCUGACUGGGCAGGCUGUCCAGAUGAUAGACGUUCCACUGGUGGGUUUGCUGUCUUCUUUGGACCUAACCUUAUUUCAUGGUGUGCAAGGAAGCAUGCUACUGUCUCUAGAUCCAGUACAGAGGGAGAAUAUAAGGCAUUAGCUAAUGCCACUGCAGAGAUUAUCUGGAUACAGUCUAUGUUAAAAGAAGUUGGUGUAAAAUGCACUCAGGCUCUGUGUUUGUGGUGUGAUAAUUUUAGUGCCACAUACUUAUCUGCUAACCCAGUGUUUCAUGCAAGGACAAAACACAUUGAGAUAGAUUUCCACUUUGUUAGAGAAAGAGUUGCAAAUCGACAGUUGAAAAUCCGUUUUGUGCAUUCACGAGACCAAGUGGCUGAUAGCUUUACUAAGGCUCUACUGACAAGGAAUUUUGAGGAAUUUAAACGUAAUCUCAACUUAACAAAGUUGUGAUUAAGGGAGAGUGUUAAACACAGUUUAUCUAUACCUGGAACGUGGGAACUAUAACACGUAUCCAGGGUAGUUUCAGUUUAACUUUUGGUCUAUUAGAGAUAGAACCGAACUCCUUUAUCUCCCAUUAUCUUGAUCUCUCUCGAUCCUUGCCGUGUACUCCAAGUUUGUAUGCCUCUCAGGGAUCGGGCCCCUGCUAUAUAACACGCAACCGCCUGCCAGAUCAAGGCACGGCGCUUCCAGCUA